rnacentral:rRNA from 1 species
UACGUAGGUCGCAAGCGUUGUCCGGAUUUACUGGGCGUAAAGAGCGCGCAGGCGGCUGGUCAAGUCCGAUGUGAAAUCUCCCGGCUCAACUGGGAAACUGCAUCGGAAACUGAUCGGCUUGAAGAUGGGAGAGGGUAGUGGAAUUCCCGGUGUAGUGGUGAAAUGCGUAGAUAUCGGGAGGAACACCAGUGGCGAAGGCGACUACCUGGCCCAUUCUUGACGCUGAGGCGCGAAAGCUAGGGGAGCAAACAGG